UUUACUCUCUCCCAAAUUAGAAACCCUCAUCUCUUAUCUCCUCCCUCCCUCCAUCCCUCCCGUCCACGACUCUACCCUCCCCCAAAUUAGAAACACGUCGACUCUCCAAGGCCUGGAGCGUCACCAUUGAGCCACAUUCGCUCCAUCUCAAAGCAUGAAACCCAAGCCCCUCCAGUGUCCUCUCCCAAAUUCGAAAUCUUAAGAGCUAUAUCGCCUCCCCUCUGUUGGACUCCCUAAAGUCUGAGGCAAACCUCCUCAUCGCUGGUUGUUACCGUGGUGCAGAUCUCCAUUUAUGUCGUGGUCUGGGUUCCUUCACGUAAAAAUCAAGACUACACUGAAUUGACGCAACAACAUAACAUCUCGACCGAGUCCAUUCUUGACAACCUGACGACCAAGAUGAAGGAAGUCUUGACCAGAGCCUAGACCUCAUCACAAUCAUCGAUUGUUGAUUCCCCUACGGUUCCAAUUGGCAUUAAGUUGGAUGCUUCCAACUAUGCUUUAUGGUCCCUGGUUGUUGAGAUGUAUAUAUUUGGCAAAGGCAAACUGGGAUAUAUCAAUGGAGACUCUCCCCAGCCUCCAGAAAAGACCCAUUGUUUCAAAAAUGGCAAACCAAGAAUGUCAUUGUGAAGGGGUGGUUGAUCAACUCGAUGGACUCUUCCUUGAUCGUGAACUUCAUUCGCUUCCCGACAGCCAAACAGGUUUGGGAUUCUGCUGCUAUAACUUACUUUGAUGGAACUGACACCUCGCAAGUAUAUGACCUCUGUGUCGUGUGACUCACAUGAGACAAGCAGGUGGAUCUAUUGAAAAAUACUAUAAUGAUCUACAAGAUUUGUGGUGUGAGAUUGAUUUUCGUCGCCCCAACCCAAUGGGAUGUGCAUCAGAUAUACAAAAAUAUAACUCAAUCCUACAUGAGGAUUGAGUUUACAUCUUCUUGGAUGGGUUGGACGACUGACUAGAUAACACUCAGAGUGAUGUGUUAUAGCUGAAACCUUUCCCUAUGGUUGAACAGGCCUAUGCUCAUGUUCGACGGGAGGAUGUUCGACAAACUAUGAUGGCAUCUGGGGCAGAAGCUACUUCUGGUGGUGCUGUUAUGGCCACUAAAGGAAUUAAAUUAGGCCAGUUCCAAACAUUGGUGAAAUUAGGGUCACUUUCCCUGAGUGGUGGGAAGUCCAACUCAUCCGCCAAGCCUAAGGGUCAAUCUGAUGCAGGAAAAUGUACUCACUGUGACAAUGCAAAACAUACCCGUGAUACUUGCUUCAAGCUCCAUGGGUAUCCAGGCUGGUGGCAUGAAUUAUAGGCACGAAAGAAACGAGAUCCUGCUGUAUUGAGGAAGGCACGGGUAAAGCUAUUGUGGUCACUGUCGAGCCUCAAUUAUCUCUCAUUCCCCUGGCAGAACCCUCCACUCCUCUCACUAAUCGAGGAUAUUCUCAGCAAGGAGAUCAUUGGGCGUGGUACUAAGAGGGGGGAUUAUAUUACAUGGAUGACUUCAGCCCGGGAACAAUGAAUCACAUGCACCAUCAGGUCAGUAACAAGGAGAGACAGAUUUGCUCCGGCAUCAUCGCUUGGGGCAUCCAUCGUUUGGUUAUUUAUAGCAUCUUUUCCUGGAUUUGUUUUCCAAUUUACAAAACAAAGAUUUUAAAUGUAAUACUUGCAUUGUAGCUAAGAGCCAUAGAGUUUCUUAUCCAAUGAGUUUGAAUAAAAGUGAUAUUCCCUUUGCCUUAAUACA